CUAAGGAGCAUUCUCCGGUCGGGGUUCCGAACAGUCGGGGCCGCCGUCGGCAGAGCCACUACGAGCCCGAAUGUGGUUCGGUGGAAGCUCAUGGGUGGAACGCUGGCAUGUGCCUCACGUUUCGGUUGCUCUCGAUGGGGUGGCCGGUGGGGAUGUAGUCGACACACUGUUGGGUCCUGAAAGAACAGACGUUCUUUCCAGGCAAGAAAUACGAUCCGCCGGAUCUCGGUGAUACCGGCCUCGGUUUCCUCCCGUGGGGAGGGGUUGGGGUGUUGGUCCCGGUAAGGGUUUGGUUGGGUGUGUUGUUUGAGAACUGCACAGUGGACGCGAGCAUCUUUGUUUGUAAGUGUGUAAGAGCGUUC
rnacentral:misc_RNA from 1 species